AUGCAUCUCUUUGACAGACCUGUAGCAGUUUCUUGUCUGCUGCCCAGGUUUUCAGUAUAGAUGCAAGGAAAUAAAGGUCCUCACACUUUCUAUCUGACUAAGGCAGCCCAGAUUAGAUUGGGGAAUAUAGGA